UACAGCCAGUAUUCACGGCAGUCGAAUAUUACUAAUAAACAGUGCUAUAAAGGGCAUUCCGAAAGUAAGUUUAGUUUACCUAUUUUCCCUCCAUGCCAUUUGAAAUAAAAAACCGACGAUAUUGUUUUGUGGGAUAAGGCGAUAAGCCAUUAUAUACUAUCCAGGGAAACCAAAAUCAGAAGGUUUGAUGGAGAACCGACGCGAUAAAAAUAAAAAUAGAAUGACUUGCGCUGCUUUUGCGUUUUUUCAUGGUUAUUUGUAAAAAUCAUUCCUUUCAGUGCUCUUUACAAUGUUUUCAACAAAAACAUAAAAAAAUCUGAAGUGUUAACUGCAGCUGUUGUGCUUAAUAUUUUUGUUUCGAUAGAACCUUUUAAAACGUCCAGAGGUCUAAUUAUUUGUUUCAUGUGACCACCAGAAUUCUUAUUUUUCAUCCUUCUCGCUUUUAUGAAAUCAAGAUUCUUUGCAUGCGGGAUCGCAUAAAAAAACGAGCAAUUUGUAGCCAGUCAAGCGCGCCUAGGAUACGCAUUCCGCUAUAAAUUAUCCCGACAGCAGGAAUUGUUUUCCGCAAAAUUGCAGUUAGUUCCUGUCGUCCGGAUGUUGGGUAGCUUUGUGUUAUGUGCACGGCGGUGCACCUAAUGUAGUCGUCGACAGUUUCGAUUUUGCUACAAAGCUGCUUGGUAGAGUUAUUUCGUUGUGUACACAGUUGAGACGUAAGUGUUGUAAGACAAAGAAAUCCCUACGCUAACGACAUUCAGCGCUUCUCAAAAAGUGAGUGGGAAGAUUGAGAAAAAUAGCAAAAACAGUCCUGGAAAAACAUCAAGCAAAGUGCGGAAGACCUUUAGCGGUUUUUCCAGAGCAGUUCAUCCCGGUUCGGCUGAAAUUAUUUUUUACAUUGCUUCUUUAACAAUAUGGGCGCUUCUAACAAUAUGGACAAUAUGAGCUACAAGCCUAAAAGCGUUUAUUCCGGGAGAUGCAAAAUAGGAAAAUUUACUUCGGAAUGCCCUUUGACCUUCGUAAUAGAAUACGUAUACAGUAGCGCAUACACGGCAUAGUACGAAUGCACCGUAUAAUUAUGGAUACUGCUGCUGCGAUGCACCUGAUCUUGUGGUUCGUUUGUAUAUUGCCAUCAACAAGCUUACCAUUAAGUGAGCGUCCUGCCCGGAAUGCGCACCCAUCAUUGGGAACUGGUAAUCCAGGUUUACCUACUUUGAUAAGCCCAUAUGAACCGGAGCUAUUUGCCGUGGAAGGAGACACAAAGACCGAAAUUGACUGUAACAUUCACGGAAGUAAAGAUUCCACGUCUGUUACAUGGUUUCGCAAUAGUGCACCGAUAAUUCCUGGCGGGAAUCCUGGCGGCAAACGCUUCACCCUAAGACAGGGAGGAUUCGUACUGGUUGUACACAAUUUGACGUCAUCCGAUGACAAAAGCGUAUUCGGCUGCCGAUUAACAAACUCACAUGGCACUGUAUGGCACAACAUGACCUUAACAGUGAUUUCGGAGGCGGAAUUAGUAGCACACAACAGCAAUCCGCUACGCCAAUAUGACAGCUUACUACCCAAACCAAAAGCGCCAUACAUUCUAGUGCACCCGACAGACAGCCCGAUAUCGCUCAAAGAAUACAGAAUUAGGAAAUCCGUGGGUGCGAGUCUCCUUUUGCUUUGUCCGGUAACAGGCAUCCCCAAGCCGUCAACGAUCUGGACAAAGGACGGGGUUGUCGUUAAUAUGACGGAAAGGAUUUUCCGGCAUCAACCAAAUUUCUUUUUCCAUUUGCGCAUCGACGCGAUACAAGUAAACGACAGUGGACAUUACCAAUGCACAGCCACAAAUGCUUAUGGAUCCGCCGUUGUUAAGUACCAUGUUGACGUCUCCCCUAAAUCAAAGCAGUAAAGUAAAAGUACAUCAAUGGUUUAUAUCAGCUGAGUGUACAUGGUUGACCAGUGUAAUCAGCAUCAACCGGUUGGACGAGCAACCAUCCAAUGCCGCCCGAUCACCUCCGUCGGCAGUCCGCUAUCGCUGACCUUCUCCAUGUGGCGCUGACCUUCACGUGGCACCCGGCGCAGGCUGCUUUCUACCUGGACACGCCAAUUUCAGCUAUGUGAUGCUGUCGACGUUGACAAAUCGUUCGCCGCCCGCAAUUUUCAUAAUAACCCCAGCGACAGUAACCUUGAAAUGCCCACUGACCGGCUUCAUUUGGUAUACUCUGGAGCUGGGCUUUAUAAAUAUUUAUCAGUACAUGUAUUCCACUUUAACUGUUUCCUUGUUUUCUUUUCAUUGUUGUUGACUUUUCCUUGUUGAUCUACAGAAAUACCUGGCAGGCCGGAAAUGUGCUAUAGCUGGAGACACCGGCAGAUUUAAACGGCACGGCAGUGCUGGCCGACGGUGCGUUUGACCACCGCCAGCUGGGCUCCUGUCAGAACAUUGUCGGCGCACUGCUCGUCGAUCCCGAUUACGACGGUAACGACACGUCGCAGUUCCUCACCAACAUUCUUUGCAAUCUUACCGCUUUCAUACCACCGAUUAUCGCUACUUGAGCCGCACACACCAAAAGGCCGAUCCGAUCAUUGCACAAAUUAUUAUAGUAAAAUACAUACAACAUAUGUAUAGUAUAUAUAUGGAGAGUGUUCCGGGCACCACCUUUUAUCACCACAGGCUUCCGACACCACUGUUUUCACCACUUUUUGUCUCGGGCCACCAUUUUUAAGACACCACCUAUUAUUAUAAUGAAAUACCGCGGUUGUCUCAGGGAACUAUUAGUAGCGAAACGUACUGAAACGUACAUACUUCUUACAAUGCAUGCGGCUGCAGUUAGCAAUUUGUGUUUAGCAUACAGGUGCUAGUGAAAUACUACAGUAAUACUACAGUACAACUGCGUACAGUAAUAAUACGUACAGUACAACACCGCUCGGGACAACGACCGGCCCAUGUAAACGGCGGUAAAAUUCCUUGUCAGACGGCGUAAUUUUCAUAAAUUUGUAUCACUGCCGUUAUCGAUUUGAA